rnacentral:rRNA from 1 species
UGAGUGCGAGCUGCUACGGCAGCGAAGUUGGUGAUGUCAUGCUUCCAAGAAAAGCCCUAUACCCGUUAAGGCAUCAUGGCCUGUACCCGAAACCGACACAGGUGGGGUGGUAGAGAAUACCGAGGGGCGCGAGGUAACUCUCUCUAAGGAACUCGGCAAAAUGGCCCCGUAACUUCGGGAGAAGGGGUGCCACCGCAAGGUGGUCGCAGUGAAGAGGCCCAGGCGACUGUUUACCAAAAACACAGGUCUCCGCUAAGUCGCAAGACGAUGUAUGGGGCUGACGCCUGCCCAGUGCCGGAAGGUUAAGGAAGCUGGUCAGCGCAAGCGAAGCUAGCGACUGAAGCCCCGGUGAACGGCGGCCGUAACGAUAACGGUCCUAAGGUAGCGAAAUUCCUUGUCGGGUAAGUUCCGACCCGCACGAAAGGCGUAACGAUCUGGGCGCUGUCUCGGAGAGAGGCUCGGCGAAAUAGAAUUGUCUGUGAAGAUGCGGACUACGUGCACCCGGACAGAAAGACCCUAUGAAGCUUUACUGUAGCUUGGUAUUGUGCCCGGGCUCGCAAUGCGCAGGAUAGGUGGGAGGCUUUGAUCAUCGGCUUGCGGGUCGAUGUGAGCCAACGGUGAGAUACCACUCUUUGCGAGCUAGGGUUCUAACUGCCACCCGUCAUCCGGGGGCCGGACAGUACCUGGUGGGCAGUUUGACUGGGGCGGUCGCCUCCUAAAAGGUAACGGAGGCGCGCAAAGGUUUGCUCAGGCUGGUUGGAAAUCAGCCGACGAGUGUAAAAGCAGAAGCAAGCUUGACUGUGAGACCAACAAGUCGAACAGGGAGGAAACUCGGCUUUAGUGAUCCGACGGUUCUGAGUGGAAGGGCCGUCGCUCAACGGAUAAAAGUUACUCUAAGGAUAACAGGCUGAUCUCCCUCAAGAGUUCACAUCGACGGGGAGGUUUGGCACCUCGAUGUCGGCUCAUCGCAACCUGGGGCUGAAGUCGGUCCCAAGGGUUGGGCUGUUCGCCCAUUAAAGCGGUACGCGAGCUGGGUUCAGAACGUCGUGAGACAGUUCGGUCCAUAUCCGGUGCACGCGCAGGAAUAUUGAGAGGAUUUCUCCCUAGUACGAGAGGACCGGGAGGAACGCACCUCUGGUGUACCAGUUAUCGUGCCAACGGUAAACGCUGGGUAGCCAUGUGCGGAGUGGAUAACCGCUGAAAGCAUCUAAGUGGGAAGCCCACCUCAAGAUGAGUAUUCCCAUGGCGUAAGCCAGUAAGGUCACGGGAAGAACACCCGUUGAUAGGCUCUAUGUGGAAGCGCAGUAAUGCGUGAAGCAGAGGAGUACUAAUAGACCGAGGGCUUGAC